rnacentral:tRNA from 1 species
AAAAAGAUAAGCUAAUAAAGCUAAUGGGCCCAUACCCCAUAUAUAAAGGUUUAACUCCUUUUCUUUUUA